ensembl:lncRNA
GGGGCCUCGGGGCCCAGUCUGGAGGGGGCCUGGCACAGUUGAGGCCUCCUCUGGGUCCAGACCAAAGGGGGCCCAGGCUGGAGGAGGACCAGGCUCAGUUGGGGCUGCUUUGGGGCCCAGUCCGGAGGGGGGCCUGGCACACUUGGGGCUGCUUUGGGGCCCAGGCUGGAGGAGGACCAGGCUCAGUUGGGGCUGCUUUGGGGCCCAGUCUGGAGGGGGCCUGGCACAGUUGAGGCCUCCUUUGGGCCCAGUCUGGAGGGGGCCCAGGCAGAGCCAGGGCCUCAGGGCCCAGGCUGGAGGAGGACCAGGCUCAGUUGGGGCUGCUUUGAGGCCCAGUCCGGAGGGGGGCCUGGCACAGUUGGGGCUGCUUUGGGGCCCAGGCUGGAGGAGGACCAGGCUCAGCUGGGGCUGCUUUGGGGCCUAGUCCGGAGGGAGGCCCGGCACAGCCAGAGCCUUGUGGCAGCAGUCCAACUCUCAAGUUCAACCUUUAACCAUAACCUAAAACGGUAACCGUAGUGAAAGGUAGUGGCAGAUAGAGCUGCUUUACUGUGUUUUAAUUUUCCCAAGAAUAGUGAAGGUCUCAAGCUAGUAAAGAAAGACCCCUUUCUGAAGAGCAGGACUCAGAAGGUAUUACCAGAGAGCAGAUCUCCCAGUAGAGAUUCUUCCCCUUAGACAGCCAGCCCUUAAAUGAGGUUAGGGAGGGCUGGGACCAGGCUCCACCCCUUUUCUGCACAGGUGAAACGCUUCCAGCUGUGCUCCGCAGCAGACCAUGUUUUAACAAAGGUGAAAGCCUGUGAAACAAAAGAAUCCCUUCUUACUUGUUUCACGUUUGUGUUUGUUGACCGCAGUUCCAACCAGGUGGACUCUCAAUGUCUUGCAAGCGACACCUAGAAGCAGGUACAGGCAGGAGGCACAGCACCCUGCAACCUCCAGGGGCCUUUGUGCAAAUGUUCAUGUCCUAGAAGCACGUGGCGGAGCACGUCCUGGGAUCAAGGUGCCAUGGACUGGAAAAUCCAGCUCUGGACAUACAGGCUUGGCGGAGUUCCUGUGUGAAGACAAAACUCCCAGUACUCCAGAAACGUGGAGGCAGAAGAGCAGUGACAAGGUAUCUGUAUGUCUGUCAGUAUAUGUGCACAGCAGGCCCAGCUGCCCCUGCUUCCUCCCUCCACCGGAUCUUCUCCUGCUCCUGGAGUCUCCUGUGGCAUUGGUGGCGUGGGGCAAGUUAUUUUGUCAAGCAGGAUCUACCAUUCGUAAACCCAUUCUGACUGGGCCCGAUCCCCUAGUUGACCUUUAAUUAAUCUCAACAUUAUCCUUUCCAUAACCUAUCCUGGCCCUGAGGUAAGACUGAUAGGUCUGUAGCUACCAUGCUCAUCUUCUGGCUGUUUCUGAAGAUGUGUGUCAUAUUUGCCAGUCUCCAGUCCACCUGCGUGUUUCCAUUUAGCCAGGACUGCUGAAGGACGAUGGAGUGUGGCUUGGCAACCACAUCCACCAACUCCCUCAGCACUCCAAAGUGCAGUCCAUCUGGCCCCGUGAACUCGAGCAUCCAGCAUUCGGUGCAGGUCCAAAAUCAUCUCAUUGUGGAUAAUGCAGGGCCUAUUCAGUUCCCCAUCCUUAUCUACCAGCACAGGGGAUUUUUUCCCAGGGAGUAACAAGUCUUGCUAUUAGCGACUGAGGCAACAAAGGCAUUAAGUUCCUCAGCCUUAUCCUGAUCCUUGGUCACCAAGUUGCCCUCGGCGUCCAACAAGGGAUGGAGAUUCUCCCUUGCCCUCCUCUUGCUGUUGAUGUAUUUAUAGAAAUAUUCAUUGUUGUCCUUCACCUUACUGUCCGAGCUCAGUUCUAGCUGGGCUUUGGCUUUUCUAAUUUUCUUCCUGCACAGCUUUGCUACGUACCUGUAAUCAUCAUAAGUAGCUUGACUACUCUUCCACAAACCAUAAUCUUUCAUUCUGCUCUUGAGUUCCAGUCAAAGGUCUCUGUUCAGCCAGUCCAGGAGUGCGUGGGCAGACAAAGAAGCGUUGUGCAGGCAGGGAAAAAUGAGUGCUGUGGGUCCUGGGAGCAGCAAUGCGUGAGGCUCCUCCUGCUAGUGCUCUUCCGCUGGAACGUCCCUUUGGUUUUCUACUUGGGAGAAUAUUUGAACCCGUUGAAAAAGGUCUGACUUGAAGCGAGGGUGCAGAGCAGAUUUAACCUCUGCAGGCGUGUAUGCCAGAGCAUGAAGCAUCGUCAACAAGCACGGGGUAGCACCAGCUUGAAACAGGGGAAGCUUCCACAGAGCCCCCAAAUGGAGUCCCAGGGUGAUGAGAUGAAGCUGAUUUUGGCAGCAUUAAAGGUGGUUUUCCAGGAUCUGUGCCUUCUAGGGCUGGGGGCUGUCACUGGGGUUGCUUUCACAGGACACCCCCCAGCCCACCUCAGGACCCACGGGGAGUCUGUCGGUGACAAAUGUGUCACUGAGUGACAGCAUCAGGGUGGGAAUGUGUGGAACACAGUGCCCAGGGCAGAGCCAAGCGGCGCUGGGGGGGGUCAGCCCCAAGGAGAAAGCCUCCCCCAUGGAAGAAAUGGAUUGCUUAAUGCCGUGGGUGAGAUGUUGUAGAAGAGCAAAUUAAUGAGGUUAAAAGGUGCCGCCCGGGUACUGUGGGAACCUCCUCCCACCCUGCAAGUGCUGUCCAAAGCUCUCCAGUGCCCCCUGCUGCUCUUUGCAGUUCCCCACUAAGCUCCCGUUGUCUCCCAGUAUUGUCCAGAGUCUCCUUGUGCAAACUCAGUGCCCCCCAGUGCUGCCUGGAGCCACCCCAGUGCUGUAUGCGGCCCUCAGUAGCCUCCCAGUGCCCCCCAGUGGACUUCCCAGUGCCUCCAGUAGUGCCCAGUGCCCCCAGUUCAACACAUGCACUGCUCAGCACGUGACCGUCGCCUUCCCCAGGAACAAAACAAGGCAACAGAGACGUUGACAGCAGCGAUGGUGAUGGAGAUGUUCAGACUGGAGGAGCUCUUGGCUCGCUGCAGCCACCCCAGCAUCCCCAGAGGUGGGCACGGGGACCUGGGAGGGCUUUGGUGCUGCACAAACGACUGCAGGCAGAGGUGUAGGAAAGUGAACGCCAAGCAUUUAAUAAUUGAACGUACAAAACAGCAAAUAAAUGACGAUAGAUAUUC